GCACAAAACAUUCCUGUUAAACGUUUCUUUGUCUGUCCACACAAAUGAGGUAAAUUGUCAGGAUACUCCUUUUUAGUAGGACCUAUAACAACAGAGGCCUUACUUCCCAUAGAAAAACCAGAUUCAUCAGCAUUGUAAACUCUGUGUGGCUUGUCUAGGAGAUGAUGCCCAGAUAAAAAGUUAUAAUAACUUGCAAACCACUUAUCAAGCUGUUGUGAUGUCACCUUGGCUCUGGAAUUUUCUAGAGCAGAUUCGUGCCGCUUUUCAAUUAAGUGUGAAUUGCGUGCCAUGAAACUAUAAUACCAAGUGUAACUGGGUCUGCCAUUAAUGAAAUCAGUUUUUCUCUUAUCUUUUUUAACUACACCUUGAACGAAAUCUAAGAAUUCUGCUGGUCCAAGACCCAUUCCCCGUUUU
rnacentral:sRNA from 1 species